rnacentral:rRNA from 1 species
GUAGGGAAUAUUGCACAAUGGAGGAAACUCUGAUGCAGCGACGCCGCGUGAGUGAUGAAGGCCUUCGGGUCGUAAAGCUCUGUCGCAGGGGAAUAACACAAUGAAGGUACCCUGUAAGAAAGGAUCGGCUAACUUCGUGCCAGCAGCCGCGGUAAGACGAGGGAUCCUAGCGUUGUUCGGAAUCAUUGGGCGUAAAGCGGAUGUAGGUGGCUAUGUAAGUCAGAUGUGAAAGCCUGGGGCUCAACCCCAGAAGGGCAUUUGAUACUGCGUAGCUUGAGUGUCGGAGAGGUUACUAGAAUUGUUGGUGUAGUGGUGAAAUACGUAGAUAUCAACAGGAAUACCGGAGGCGAAGGCGGGUAACUGGCCGAACACUGACACUGAGAUCCGAAAGCGUGGGGAUCAAACAGGAUUAGAUACCCCGGUAGUCC